GCUGUGUCAAAUAUUAAUAACAAUUCAAAUUCAGAGCUGUAUCAAGCUUGAAUGUUGUGUCCAUACUUGCCCCAACUGUUCAGGGUUCGACCUCUGCGGUAGUAUCAAGCUGCACCCACUUUUUGUUCUAAGAACUCCCCUUUUUUCUUAACAACUCCUGCCCCUGUUUUAGAAUUUCUUGAUCCGCCCAUGUACAGAAAUAUUGAACAUAUACUUAUACUAAAUAUUAACACUAAAGUUUCAGGCUAAGUAUUUUGUGCAAAUAAAAAUUUGAAAUGUAAAUUUUAUUUUCAUUUUAUUCAACUCCAUUUUAGGUAUAAAAGUUUACCAAAUGGGAAACCGCUCAAGUCUGAAGGAUUAAAGGUUGAAUUGAAUAAUUUAGUGCAAAAAAUGAUUGGUAGGAGUAAUUCUUUAAAUGAUCUUGGAUCUACACAGUCAAAUGAAAGCUUUAACCAGCUUGUAUCUGUAAAGGCCCCUAAAUCAAGGUAAUUUGUAUAUAUAUUUGCAUGUCAGAUCACAUUCUAAAGCAACAAUGAAUACAAGUAUAAAAAAUAUGUUUUAUGAUUACCAAUAACUAAGACAACUCUACACUAGAGAGCAAAUGACACAGAAAUUAACAGCUAUGGGUCACAGAAAGGCAUUUAACAAUGAUCAAUUCUCAUAUGACAUAGUAAGCUAUAAAAGGCCCCAAUUCACAAAUUUAUGUAUAGAUAUAAAAAGAUGUGGUAUGAGUGCUAAUGAGACACCUCUUCCAUCCAAGUCACAAUUUGUAAAAAGAAACCAAUUAUACAUAUGUCAAAGUUCAACAUUCAACACAAUUCAAACAAGAAAACUAAUGGCCAAAUUAAUGUAAAAAAUCAAUAAAUGAAAAACAAAUAUGUCACAUUGCAAUUACUGACAGCUAGUUCAAAGCCAAUAACAAAAAAAAAACCCAUGCAUCUAAGACUUAAUUAUCUUGUCAGGCUAUCUGCAGCUGUGCUUCAGAAAAAUGAAGGAUAUGGCUACUUAUCCAAGAUCAAUGAAGCAGCAAACCUCUCUCCAGGAGAAUUUACAAUAUCAAUUUCCUCUGUAAGAGAUAAAAAAAAUGGAAAAAAGAAAAGAAAAAAAGAGUUCAAAGGAAUAUAAAGUUGGCCGUAUACAAAAGAAAAGAAACCGCAAUAAGAACGAGCGUAAACAUCUGUUAAGAGAAGGAAAAACCUAUGGAUCUCAAAUGGAAUUUGAUCGUCAACAGGACCCUGAGCAAACCACAGAAAUUCCACUUCCUGUUAAUCUAGAUGGCACUGAAUGCAAAGUGUUUUUUGAUUUAGAAACAACAGGCUUGGGUAGGAAUAGCGACAUCAUUCAGAUAGCAGCUAAGUCAAAUUCAAAUAGUUUUAACAGAUAUGUCAUCCCAAGAGUGGACAUUCAGAUCGAGGCCAGUAAGAUCACUGGUAUAACAUACAGCCAUGGAACAAAUAAAACGUAUGUUCGAGGAGAUAUAGUUGAACCUGUGACACUACAUAAAGCCCUACUUGAUUUUAUACAUUUUUAAAGGAACAGAACCAGCCAAUUAUACUAGGUCAUAACAUUUGUAACUUUGACAUUCCUGUAAUUGUUAACAAAUUGAAAGAAAUUCAUGUAAUUUGUUUUUCGACAUUUUGUGAAACCGUGAAAGGUUUUAUUGACACAAUGAAAGUGGCUAGAAAAUAUAUUUCAAAAAAUGAUGUAGAAAAUUUUAAGCAGCAGACUCUUGUCAAACAGUUUGUAGGAGAAAAUUACUCUGCCCACAAUGCAAUAGAGGAUGUGGAUUCAUUAAAAACAUUAUACAACAGUAAAUUUACCUCACUAGUGAAAUCUGAUGAUGUAUUUUCCAUUUUAUACCACAAUUGCAUGGACUCCUACUCUGACUUACUAAGUAAUAAAAUUGUUUCAAGGCUAGUUUGCAUGCAACUAGCAAAAGAUGGUAUAUCGUUGAAACACCUCAAACUGGCAUCUGUACGAGAUGUAAAUGGACUGAAAUUUGUCUUACAGGACCAUAAGAUACCACCAAAGAGUGUGAAAUGCAUUCAGGACUACUUUCAGACUGAGGAAUGAAUUUUGUAUGGCCAAAAAAUAAAUAUAUGUCUGUGUUUUCCUAUAACCUGACUGUGUCUACCCUGA